rnacentral:ncRNA from 2 species
UACGUAGGGGGCAAGCGUUGUCCGGAUUUACUGGGUGUAAAGGGUGCUCAGGUGGGUUUUUAAGUCAGAAGUGAAAGCCCGGAGCUCAACUCCGGAGUUGCUUUUGAUACUAUUUACCUUGAGUGUAGGAGAGGGCAAUGGAAUAUCUGGUGUAGCAGUGAAAUGCGUAGAUAUCAGAUAGAACACCAAUGGCGAAGGCAGUUGCCUGGCCUAUCACUGACGCUAAAGCACGAAAGCGUGGGGAGCAAACAGG